AACGUAGGAGACAAACGUUAUCCGGAUUUACUGGGCGUAAAGGGCGUGUAGGCGGUUUGUUAAGUUUGGCGUGAAAGCUCUCGGCUAAACCGGGAGAGGUCGUUGGAUACUGGCAAACUAGAGGACGGUAGAGGCGUGUGGAAUUCCGGGUGUAGUGGUGAAAUGCGUAGAUAUCCGGAGGAACACCAGUGGCGAAGGCGGCCUUCUGGGAUGAUCCUGACGCUCAGACACGAAAGCUAGGGGAGCGAACGGG
rnacentral:rRNA from 1 species